AAAAUUUUAAGUUAAUUAAACUAUAAGCCUUCAAAGUUUAAAAUAUAUAUAUUAUAAAUUUUA
rnacentral:tRNA from 1 species